UACGGGGGGGGGUAAGCGUUGUUCGGAAUUACUGGGCGUAAAGGGCUCGUAGGCGGCCAACUAAGUCGGACGUGAAAUCCCCAGGCUCAACCUGGGAACUGCGUCCGAUACUGGAUGGCUUGAAUUCGGGAGAGGGAUGCAGAAUUCCAGGUGUAGCGGUGAAAUGCGCAGAUAUCAGGAGGAACACCGAUGGCGAAGGCAAUCCCCUGGGCCUGCACUGACGCUCAUGCACGAAAGCGUGGGGAGCAAACAGG
rnacentral:rRNA from 1 species